GAUGAACGCUGGCGGCGUGCCUAACACAUGCAAGUCGAGCGGCAGCGAGGGGUGCUUGCACCCUGUCGGCGAGCGGCGGACGGCUGAGUAACGCGUGGGAACGUGCCCCAAAGUGAGGAAUAACUGCCCGAAAGGGUAGCUAAUACCGCAUAUUAUCUUCGGAUCAAAGGAUUUAUCCGCUUUGGGAGCGGCUCGCGUCGGAUUAGGUAGUUGGUGAGGUAAUGGCUCACCAAGCCGACGAUCCGUAGCUGGUCUGAGAGGAUGACCAGCCAGACUGGAACUGAGACACGGUCCAGACUCCUACGGGAGGCAGCAGUGAGGAAUCUUCCACAAUGGGCGAAAGCCUGAUGGAGCAACGCCGCGUGCAGGACGAAGGCCUUCGGGUUGUAAACUGCUUUUAUAGGUGAGGAAUAUGACGGUAACUUAUGAAUAAGGAUCGGCUAACUACGUG
rnacentral:rRNA from 1 species